UAGAGUUUGAUCCUGGCUCAGGACAAACGCUGGCGGCGUGCGUAACACAUGCAAGUCGAACGGUGUCUUUGACUUCGGUUGAGGGCGCAGUGGCGGACGGGUGAGUAACACGUGGAUAACCUGCCCUGGUGUGGGGGAUAGCCUUCAGAAAUGAGGGAUAAUACCGCAUACGGCGGCUGGGGAGUGGCGACACUCUCCGCCGGGAAAGCUUUUCAGAGCGCAAGGUCUGGGAGGCGCACGAGGAGGGGUCCGCGGCCGAUUAGCU
rnacentral:rRNA from 1 species